AUGAAAACUACACCAUUAAAUAGGUGGGAUUUUUACAUCAUUUUUGGAACUGGAAUUAUUGUAUUUGGAUUAAUAUUUAAUCCUGUGGAAUUUUUGGAAAACGAAAAGAAAAAGAAAAAGAGAAAGGGUAGUCUAAACCUUGAAAGUCUAAACUACGGGUACAUCACACUCAUACCUAAAAUCAGAGCACCAGAAACUGUCAACGACUUCCGGCCCAUCACAUUGCUUAACUGCUGUCUCAAACUUAUCAGCAAGAUUCUAGCCAACCGUCUUCAAAGGGUGAUCUUAAAAAUUGUACGCAAUAAUCAGUAUGGGUUUUUGAAGGGGAGAUCCAUCCAUGACUGCCUUGCAUGGGCCUUUGAAUACAUACAUCAAUGCCAAGCUUCUAAACGUGAAAUUAUCCUUCUCAAACUAGACUUUGCCAAGGCAUUCGAUACUGUGGAACAUGAUGCCAUCAUCCAAAUUAUGAGAAGCAUGGGGUUCAAUGAUAAAUGGUUGUCCUGGAUCACGAGCCUUUCCUCUUCGGGUAAAUCCUCUGUCUUGCUUAACGGAGUCCCUGGUAAGCAAUUUUGGUGUAAGUGCGGGGUGCGACAAGGGGACCCUCUUUCUCCCCUCAUUUUUGUCCUUGCCGCGGACUUGCUUCAGGCAGCUAUCAAUGAGGCCUUGGAGGAAAAUCGCCUGCAACUACCUAUCCCUGCCUCCAGCACGGCCAAAUUUCCUGUGAACUAA
rnacentral:rRNA from 1 species